rnacentral:sRNA from 1 species
UUUACAGUAGGAGUUUGCAAUCACACAGUAAAGGUCUUGGAUAUAUUUAGUUGGAGUUAAGAGCGUUGGGCUCCCAUAAAGCAGAAGGGCUCUCCUUGAGUUUAGUUCAUAUAUAUUUAGUUGGAGUUAAGAGUGUUGGGCUCCCAUAAAGCAGAAGGGCUCUCCUUGAGUGCUGCGUCAUCUGUCUUAGAUCCCGAUUUCCCCAUAAUCAUGUUUAUUAUCCUUUCCAGGUUGAAGAUUAUUCUCUCUUCUAAAGAAAGUAGAAGGAUAUUAGGAGAAUAGACACUUUAAAAUGUUCACUCUUUUAUUCACAUUACAUCAUCUGUCUUGAAUAAUGGGUCUAUCUCUUUCCUGUUGCUCUGGCCCUGAAAAAAAAAAAAUCAGCUUUUUAAGCCUGCUUUUGUUACGUGUGCAUUUUCUUGUAAUCCCAUCAUUCUGGGAUUUAAUAAUAAUAGUAUUAAUACCACCUACCAUUUGUUGGUUACUUACUGUGUUUUAGGCACUGUGCUAAACGCCUUCCACAUAUUCAUCUCAUUAGUAAACAUUUCUGAAACUAUUCUUACAAUUUGUCCUUUAGUUUUUCUUGUUCUUGUCCUCUUAAAAUCUGAGCUUAGCCAUGAGCUCUCAGUGAAGCUGCUUGUAUUUCUUUAAAAACCCCUCUUUGCUUCCUCCAAGUUGAGUGGGUUGUACUUCUGAGGUCAGGACAAACUGGGCACCAGAGGAGUUCAGCCUUCCGAGGCUGCAGGAGGGGUGGGUCCCCUGAGGCGAGCAAGAUGAUGUAAGGUCUUGACUUGGGGUAACGGACAGCCACAGACGGGAAGAGAGAAGCCAACAUUUAACCACGGAAGGAUGUGAAGGGCGGAGAGGUGGGUUGAGCACUGGGCCCCAGGUGCGGGGAGUGGGAAAAGGUCCAAAGGUGAAACCUGGGCAGCCUGGGCUUGGGUCUGGAAGUGGAAAGAAGGAAGUCGUUCUAGGGGGAGCUGUGAGCAAUGUGAACCCAUCAUUUCUGUUUUCACCAGCGAGGGUGAGAAUUGAGUCCACAGGAGUGGCUUCCUCCUCUGCUUCCUCGACCUGCAGAGGGCUAAGUGGGGCAACGAGCAGGGUAAAACUUUUCAAGAUGCUCUGCUUUUAGCAGAAUGAGCUGUUCUGACCAUUUCCCAAGAGCCAAAUUUCCUCAUCAGUCCUGAAUGUUGCCUCUGUUCUAUGAUCUGCAUUAAAAAAAAGAUAUAGUCUCCCCAUUGUGUUGUCAAAUCUGAAAUAAGGGACUGUGUUUUUGCAAAAUUCUCUUCCAAGGCCAAGCACAGGGUCAAUGUUCAGCAAAUAUUUGGUAAGUUAAUGAAUGAAAUGAAAGCACUGUCCUUAUGCUCCUUGGCUGGGUGAUGUAGAGAAGAGUUCCAGAACAAUAUAAUUUAGUUUCUUUCUCCUUUUAACCGACCCUAGAAAUUCUCCACAAGGCAUAUGCAAAUAUCCCAGACAUGUGGGUUUCCAGGCAUGUGUUUUAUGUGCAAAUACUGCUGCAUAUAUAUGAUUUUAUUUUACUUUUUGAGACAAGGUUCAUUGUCCAGGCAUUGUCCAAUGCACUAGUGCGUUGGUGCUAUCUCGGCUCACUGCAGGCUUGACUUUCCGAGCUCAGGUGGUCCUCCCACCUCAGCCUCCCAAGUAGCUGGGAUGACAGGUGCACACCACCAUGCCCAGCUAAUUUUUUGUAUUUUUAGUAGAGGUGGGGUUUCACUAUGUUGCCCAGGCUGGUCUUGAACUCCUGGACUCUAGCAAUCUGCCCACCUCGGCCUCCCAAAGUGCUGGGAUUACAGGCAUGAGCUUCUGCUCAUAUAUGUUACUUGUUCAUCUGACUGAAGACCCCAAAAGAGACCAGCACCCCAAAGAAGCAUGUAUUUCUCUUUGGAAGCAGAAGCGAACAUCCUUCUGUUUGCUUGGGAUGCAUGGGACGAGCAUGCAGUAGGUGUUUAAUAAAUAUUUGUUGACUAAUUAGGGGGCAUAAAUAUGUAAAAGUGGUAAAUUAGUAAGAAAGAGCUGCAGUGUAGAUAAUCAAAUAACAAAGUUGUCUAGGACAAGAGAAUCUAUCUCUGAGGGCUCUGUGUACGGGGAGAGGUGGUGUUGGCUAGUGAGGCAGAUCUGCCUUCUAAUUAGGCUCCAAUCAGGAUAAUAUUGCAAUUAGCUUGGGAUAUUAUAGCAGUUAGCUUCUAUUCUUGGAACAAAUUCCUGGGAGAUUUAAGUUGGGUGGUAAAAGAAGGUUGUCCCAGGAAUAAAUUUGCUGUGAACCACUUCGGAGUGACUACUUCAUAUGUGCCUAAUUGAACCACCAACGUAAACCUGAUUGGAUUGUUUCCUUCUUUAUCGGCGACACUUAAACAUGAGCUCAGGAAUUUGGACAGCCACUUAACAACAGAACACAGCUCGGGAAAUUGCAGAUUUCCAAUUUCAGAAAAAUCGAUGAAUGUAGACAACUUGAGUGUCUUCUUUUUGUCGGGGUAGACAGGCUUCGGCCUCCAAGAUCUGGCUGACAAGUGCUUGCUGCUGAGACAGGCACUG